ensembl:lncRNA
AUCAGGUUGUUUCUGUAGGGCACUUCCUUUUCUUUGGCUAUAACUAUGACUUGCUCAUGUGGUAGCAUGAUAUAUUCUAUGGAAAGCUGCUUUAUUCUACAGCUCUCUUAUUUGCUCAAACAAACUUUGAAGGAGAGCAGACUGAAAAUUACUAAUGCAGAGAAUGUAGAAAGAAACAAAGAGAAAUAUCAGAGAUGAACUCGGUUAUCUUCAUGAAAGGUAAUGAAUUCUGUGGAGCACAAGAAAAUAUUUUACACUGUAGAAUUGGACUUCAUAGCCAUAUCCAUGAAAUUCUUCUUGGUUAUAGAAAUGUUGGACCCUAUUUAAACCAAGAUGUAUCUAUAUUUUUUGUGAAGAGGAAUCAUUUUCUUUCACUGAAGGUCUGAACUCCUGAUGGGGAUGACAAGC